rnacentral:rRNA from 1 species
GUGCAGCAGUCGCGAAAACUCCGCAAUACACGAAAGUGUGACGGGGCUAUCCCGAGUGCCGUCCGCUGAGGAUGGCUUUUCCCCAGUGUAGAUAGCUGGGGGAAUAAGGAGAGGGCAAGUCUGGUGUCAGCCGCCGCGGUAAUACCAGCUCUUCGAGUGGUGGGGAUGUUUAUUGGGCCUGAAGCAUCCGUAGCCGGCUGAGCAAGUUCUCUGUUAAAUCCAGCGAUCCAAUCGUUGGACUGCGGGAAAUACUGUUUGGCUAGGGGGCGAGAGAGGCCAACGGUAUUCCCGGGGUAGGGGUGAAAUCCCAUAAUCCCGGGAGGACCACCAGUGGCGAAGGCUGUUGGCUAGAACGCGCUCGACGGUGAGGGACGAAAGCUGGGGGAGCGAACCGGAUUAGAUACCCGGGUAGUCC